rnacentral:rRNA from 1 species
CUUAGAGUUUGAUCCUGGCUCAGGAUGAACGCUGGCGGUAUGCUUAACACAUGCAAGUCGAACGGUGUCUUCGGACAUAGUGGCGGACGGGUGAAUAACGCGUGAGAAUCUAGCUUCAGGUCUGGGACAACCACUGGAAACGGUGGCUAAUACCGGAUGUGCCGGAAGGUGAAAGGCUUGCUGCCUGAAGAUGAGCUCGCGUCCGAUUAGCUAGUAGGUGGGGUAAGAGCCUACCUAGGCGACGAUCGGUAGCUGGUCUGAGAGGAUGACCAGCCACACUGGGACUGAGACACGGCCCAGACUCCUACGGGAGGCAGCAGUGGGGAAUUUUCCGCAAUGGGCGAAAGCCUGACGGAGCAAUACCGCGUGAGGGAGGAAGGCUCUUGGGUUGUAAACCUCUUUUCUCAGGGAAGAACACAAUGACGGUACCUGAGGAAUCAGCAUCGGCUAACUCCGUGCCAGCAGCCGCGGUAAUACGGAGGAUGCAAGCGUUAUCCGGAAUGAUUGGGCGUAAAGCGUCCGCAGGUGGCUGUGUAAGUCUGCUGUCAAAGAGCAAAGCUCAACUUUGUAAAGGCAGUGGAAACUACACGGCUAGAGUGCGUUCGGGGCAGAGGGAAUUCCUGGUGUAGCGGUGAAAUGCGUAGAGAUCAGGAAGAACACCGGUGGCGAAGGCGCUCUGCUAGGCCGCAACUGACACUGAGGGACGAAAGCUAGGGGAGCGAAUGGGAUUAGAUACCCCAGUAGUCCUAGCUGUAAACGAUG